CGUGCCUAACACAUGCAAGUCAACUUGACUGAAGGAGCAAUCUGACAGUAGAGUGGCGCAAGGGUGCGUAACGCGUAAGUAACUUGCCCCAAGGUAAGGAAUAACGUCGAGAAAUCGGCGCUAAUACCUCAUAAUGCAGCGGAUCCGCAUGGAUAUGUUGUUAAAGGUUUACCGCCUUGGGAUAGGCUUGCGUCUGAUUAGCUAGUUGGUGUGGUAACGGCACACCAAGGCUACGAUCAGUAACUGGUCUGAGAGGAUGAUCAGUCACACUGGAACUGAGACACGGUCCAGACUCCUACGGGAGGCAGCAGUGAGGAAUAUUGGGCAAUGCUCGAAAGAGUGACCCAGCAACGCCGCGUGGAGGAUGAAGGUAUUCUAUAUCGUAAACUCCUGUGAGAGCAGACGAAAGACAGAUUAUUAAUCUGGAUGACUGUAUGCUCAGAGGAAGCCUCGGCUAACUACGUG
rnacentral:rRNA from 1 species